rnacentral:rRNA from 1 species
AUUGAACGCUGGCGGCAGGCCUAACACAUGCAAGUCGAGCGGAUGAAGGGAGCUUGCUCCUGGAUUCAGCGGCGGACGGGUGAGUAAUGCCUAGGAAUCUGCCUGGUAGUGGGGGAUAACGUCCGGAAACGGGCGCUAAUACCGCAUACGUCCUGAGGGAGAAAGUGGGGGAUCUUCGGACCUCACGCUAUCAGAUGAGCCUAGGUCGGAUUAGCUAGUUGGUGGGGUAAAGGCCUACCAAGGCGACGAUCCGUAACUGGUCUGAGAGGAUGAUCAGUCACACUGGAAACUGAGACACGGUCCAGACUCCUACGGGAGGCAGCAGUGGGGAAUAUUGGACAAUGGGCGAAAGCCUGAUCCAGCCAUGCCGCGUGUGUGAAGAAGGUCUUCGGAUUGUAAAGCACUUUAAGUUGGGAGGAAGGGCAGUAAGUUAAUACCUUGCUGUUUUGACGUUACCAACAGAAUAAGCACCGGCUAACUUCGUG